rnacentral:lncRNA from 1 species
UUUGAUGUGUAGUGGGUCCUGCAUUCCUCAAUCAAAAGGAAUUUGAUAGGUUGGCAUGGUGCUUUUGUGAGUAAGAGAAAGGAAAAGGCUUGGAGGGUUGCCCCCUUUUGUUUAAUGUAGACCUUAUGGAAGGAAAGAAAUGAAAGAGUGUUCAAUGACACUGAACGAUCCGACCAAGCUUUAAAACUUUCUUUUUUGUACACUUUUGUGAAUUAGGGUAGGGUGUAUUUAGAGGAUCAUUCUUUGUCCUUGAUUGAUUUUAUAGAGUGGCUUUUGUCUAGAUAGGAGAAAGGUUUUCUUCUUUCUUUUUGCCUAGCUUCUUGGGCGUUGCUUGUAUACUUCGUGUGUACUCAUUUCGCCUCUUCUAGGCUUUUCUAAUACAAUCUCUUAUUUACCUAUCAAAAAAAAAAAAAAAAAAGGUUGCAUUGUCAAGGCUUCUUAAUGACAUUUUCCUAAUAGAUGAUAAAAGGUGUACAUUUAAGGCACCAAAAGUAGGUGAAUCCUAGUAAACAAGGAGUGAAAAAGGAUCAUCUAAUCAGUCUGGAAAGGAAGAAAAUGGGGGAACUACAUAAAUAACUACCGGUGCCCAACACUUACAAGAACCAUUUGCCCAAUCCUUCUGUGUCAGCAAAACGAAAAUGAUAUAUUCUUUCCUCCACAAAGUCAACUAUCAACCACAUGAACCAAGGCUUAAGGAAAUGUAUAUGAGCUUUAAAACAUAGAGCUAAACCCCAUCAAGAACCCUUUGAUUUGUUUCUUUCUAUAAACAUCCACAAACACUCAAAGCAGUUGUCCUGCAAACGUUCCUCCUCUUUCAUAGAGAACUUCCUUUCCAAAACAUUAGGAAAUUUUUUAGUAGUGGCAGGAAAAGCUGAAUAGAUCCCAAAUAGAGAAUGGAUAAAAGCCCAAAGUGUUGGAGAAGAUUAUGAUUGAUGAGUCCUCUAUUUUUGAAAACCAGUCACCACUUCCCCAUGAUGUGGUCUCCAAAUUCUCAAUUAGUCUAAUAUAAAUAUCUCAAUGGCAUUUAAAUCUUAUAUUUUCUAAUAAAACAUUGUUCUGAUAACGUGGAGCCCUGGUGGCAUUUAAAAAUUAUAGGGACAACAGCUUGAGUAUUUCUUGAUGUUUGGAGAAAUUUUUUUUGUCAUAAUUAUAUAUCAUUGAUUUUUUGAUGGUGAAAAUUGCUGAAGAUGUUUACUGUUUGUUGUGAAGCUCACAUGACAAAGGUUUCUCGCAAUGCAAAUAUGGCCAAACUUCAAGCUGGUUAUUUGUUUCCAGAGGUCUGUGAUGCACUUGCAUUUAUUUUCUGUAAUGCUCUAAUUUAUUAUUGAUUGUUAACUUCCAUUUACUUGUCUUGGAAUUAAUAUAGUAGUACACUAAAAUUUUCUUCAUAUCAUGGGACACAUAUUUCUUGUUGAACUUAAUGACUCUGGGUCUGUUUAAUUUGUCUCACUUUUCCAAAAAUACUAGUUAAUUCGUCUUUCAACUUGAGCUACUUUUCUAAUAUGUUUUGAAAUAGGAUGGGUUGGAUGAGGAAUAAGGUAACCUAUUCUUUUUUUAAUGAGCUGUUGCGCUCCCCUUUGUUAGGCGUUGUUGAUAUAAUUGAUCUUUGCCUAUCCCAAAAAAGAAAAAAAAAAAAUCCAUCUUACUUUGAGAUUGAGAACUUGAAUUUCUGACUGAGAAUUUUUGUCCAUAAAAGUGGAUGUAUCUUUAAAUUGUUUGGUAUGAUUCCAGUACAAAAUGGCAAAAACUACUGAUGUGAUUCACCUGUAUGUUGUGUGGUUUUGGAUCUGCAAUCUGUCGUCUAAGUUAUUUUUUAUUUUACAAUUUAUUCAUAGUUAAUGAGAAUUACUAUAUCCAGAUGGAGAGUAAGAUGUCCUGAUUAAUUGCAAUGUUAUACAAAAAAAAUUGAUGCAGGAAGAAAUUAUCUAGGAAGUUUUCAAUAUCUUCUGGAACUUAAUUUUUUUUUUCUUUUUGGCAUUGGUCUGUUAGUUUUGAACUAUUGUAUGGUUUAUCCAGAGUGGUCCAUGCACAGGGAUAGAAAGAGAAAAUCUUGUGAGCAUCUCUAUUGUGAUUUUUCAGGUUGUUUGUGUAUUAGAAUAGGAGUUACAUCUAUUUGCUUCCAGUAUGCUCUCUCUCUCUCUCUCUCUCCAUGCUUGUGUCUCUGCCUGUCUAUUCCAAAUUUGUCUAUUGAUUAGUGGGAUUUGUAAGUUGGCUGAUUUUAUUUGUCUUCUAAUUAUACAUUAGAUAUUUUGGCAUUUAUAGCAAUUGCUUUUCCUUGAUUAUUAGAUAGCCAGAAGAAGGUCAGCACACAUGCUAAAGUACCCUGAUGCACAAGUGAUAAGCCUUGGAAUUGGUGACACUACUGAGCCCAUUCCAGAAGUUAUAACUUCUGGUAUGGCAAAGGUAUUUGUUAAUUUUCAUUCAUUGAAAUUUCUUUUCUUGCAAGGCUUUUGCCAAAGAGCUUUACUACUACAACAUUUAAUGAUGUGCUGCUGUUAUUAAAAUCCUCGCUGUUGGAUUUUCAAAUUAAGUGCUUAUCUUUUCUUUAAAGAAAAGAUUGUUCAGGCAUUCAAAACAUCAUGCUGCUCAACCCUGUUCUGCAAAACUGGUAUUGAAUUGGAUGCUUGUUAUUCCUUAUUAAAAUUAAACAUUUAACUUGUUUACAUCCGAGUUAGGCCUGAUUGAUCUCCCGUUGCAAGGAGGGGAUUAUACGUGGAGUGGGGGGCCAAAUAAUCGUUAUUGGGCCAGGUUGGAUAGAUUUUUGGUUACCCCAAGUUGGAUGGAUCAAUUUAGCAGUGUGAUUCAAAAAAGACUGCCCAGGCCAGCUUCAGACCACUUCCCGGUGGUGCUGGAGGGUGGUACUAUGAGACGCGGUCCUUCUCCGUUCAGAUUCGAAAACAUGUGGCUUAAAGUAGAAGGGUUUCAAGAGCUAAUCCAUAGCUGGUGGCAGGGAAUAGAGGUGAGAGGAAGUGCUAGCUUUAGGCUGGUCACAAAAUUGAAAGUAGUGAAACAGAAGCUUAAAGAGUGGAAUAGGGAAGUGUUUGGGAGAUUGGAAGACAAUAAAGCUGCUGCCCUGCAGCUUGUGGAUCACUGGGACAGGGUGGAAUGUGAGAGAAGACUAUCAGAGGAGGAAACAGUAUCAAAAAAGGAAGCAAAGGAUAGCUAUGCUAAGUGGGUCUCUUUGGAGGAAACUCAUUGGAGGCAGCAUUCCAGAGAGUUAUGGCUAAGGGAAGGGGACAACAAUACAGGAUACUUCCAUCGUAUGGUGGCUGCACAUCGUAGAUCCAAUCAUAUGGACAGAAUUAAGAUAGGUGGGGUGUGGCUGAAUGAGGAAAAGGAUGUGAGAGAAGGGGUGGCCAAUGCCUUUCAGCAUUUACUUACGGAAAAUUCAGAUUGGAAGGCGGAUAUAGAAGGGUUGCAGUUAGAGCAACUAAAUCAGCAAGAGGCAGAGAACUUGGAACAACCUUUCUCUGAAGAGGAAAUUCAUAGUGCCCCGAUGGAGAUGAAUGGGGACAAAGCCCCAGGUCCGGAUGGCUUUUCUAUGGCCUUUUGGCAAAGAUGCUGGGUUAUAGUUAAAGAAGAGGUCUUGGAGAUGUUUAAAGAGUUCUAUGAGCAAAGUGUCUUCAUCAAGAGCAUGAACAGUACGUUUUUGGUCUUGAUACCCAAGAAGGGGGGGGGCUGAGGACCUUGGGGAAUUCAGGCCAAUCAGUCUAUUGGGGGGGUUGUACAAAAUAUUGGCCAAGGUCUUAGCCAAUAGACUGAAAAAAGUGAUAGGGAGAGUAGUAUCCACUGAUCAGAAUGCUUUUGUUAUGGGGAGGCAGAUCCUUGAUGCCUCAUUAAUUGCAAAUGAAGCAAUUGAUGCUUGGCAAAAAAGGGGAGAGAGAGGUCUCAUUUGUAAGCUGGACAUAGAGAAAGCAUACGACAGCCUAAAUUGGCAGUUUCUGAUGAAAGUCAUGAGAAAGAUGGGGUUCGGUUCAAGGUGGCUGGGAUGGAUGUGGAGGUGUAUAUCCACAGCCAAAUUUUCGGUGUUGGUGAAUGGAGUGUCGGCGGGUUUCUUUCCAAGUUCUAAGGGGUUGAGGCAAGGAGAUCCCCUCUCUCCCUACCUCUUUGUGAUGGGAAUGGAGGUGCUGAGCACUCUAAUCAGAAGGGCUGUUGAAGGGGGUUUUUUGUCAGGGUGUAGGAUCCAAGGAGGAGGAAGGCAGCCAGUGCAUGUCUCCCACCUGCUCUUUGCGGAUGAUACCAUAGUUUUCUGUGAAGCUAGGAAGGAGUAUCUAGCUUAUCUCAGUUGGAUUAUGUUCUGGUUUGAAGCCGCGUCAGGAUUAAGGAUUAAUUUGGAGAAAAGUAAAUUAAUUCCAGUUGGCGAGGUGGAAGAGAUGGAGGAAUUGGCAGCGGAACUGGGCUGCAAAGUGGGCUCUAUGCCCUCUGUGUAUUUGGGGCUGCCAUUGGGGGCCCGUAACAAGAGUGCAGCCGUGUGGGAUGGGGUGGAGGAGAAGAUGAGAAGAAGACUAGCGCAAUGGAAACGGCAAUACAUUUCCAAAGGUGGGAGACUUAUUCUCAUUAAGAGUACGAUGGCUAGCAUACCCUUGUACCAAAUGUCUCUUUUCCGUAUGCCCAAGUUGGUUGCGCGAAGAUUAGAAAAAUUGCAAAGGGAUUUUCUUUGGGGAGGAGGAAACUUAGAAAGGAAAGUGCACAAUGUUAAUUGGAAGAUUGUGUGUACGGAGAAGGAAAAGGGGGGGCUUGGCUUAAGGAAGCUAGUCCUGUUAAAUAAAGCUUUGUUGGGGAAAUGGAUUUGGAGGUUUGCUUGUGAAAAGGAAAAUUUGUGGAGACAUGUACUUGUGGCGAAAUAUGGGCAAGAGGGGUUUGGUUGGAUGACCAAAAAGACUAAUGGGACUUUUGGAGUAGGGGUUUGGAAGGAAAUUAUGAAGGAAAAGGAUUGGUGUUGGGAGAAUAUGGCUUUUAGGAUGGGGAAUGGUACCAGAAUCAGAUUUUGGAAUGACCUUUGGUGCGGAUGUACUGUGCUGUCCCAAAGGUUUCCUCAUCUUUAUGGGAUGGCUGCUCAUAGGAAUGGUACAGUAGAGGAUAUGUGGGACCAGAAUGUGGGCCAAGGUGAUUGGGAUAUAAGAUUUGUGAGAGGUUUUAAUGAUUGGGAGUUGGAUUUGGUAGGGAAUUUGCUUCAUACAUUGAGGGGGUUCAAUCCGACCUUAGAUGAGGAUGCUGUUUUUUGGAAAGGGGGGAAAAACGGAAAGUUUAAAGUUAGAGAAGCCUAUAACUUGGUGGUUAAUUCUGGGGCUAGCAAUUUUCCGAAAAACAACAUUUGGGUGGAUAAAGUUCAAACAAAAAUUUUGUUUUUUGCUUGGGAAGCUACUUGGGGCAAGGUGCUCACGCUUGAUAGGCUCCAGAGAAGAGGGUGGCAUCUCCCUAAUCGGUGCUUCUUGUGUGGAUGUGAAGAGGAAACUGUUAAUCACAUACUAAUACAUUGUAUAGUGGCAAGAGUUCUGUGGGAUAUGAUAUGUGCUUUGGUUGGUAUUAAGUGGGUCUUUCCAGAAACUGUAAAGGAGGUACUAUUAAGCUGGAGGGGCCCUUUUGUAGGGAAAAAAAGGAAAAAGAUAUGGAAGUCUAUACCGUUGUACAUUUUUUGGACUCUUUGGAAGGAAAGAAAUAGGCUUGCUUUUGGGGGGGGGGGGUGUUAGAUAUACAGAAAUUAAAAAAUUCUUUUGUCUGUAUUUUAUGGGGAUGGGCGAGAAUGUAUAGUGGAGAGAGGUCGUUGUCUCUUAUAGGAUCCCUGGAGUGGAUAGCCGCAAUAUAAGGGCUGGUGGGCUUUUUGUUGUUUUUGUUUUCCUGUGUUUUUUUGAGGCUCUAGCUAGAUUGUAUACUCCCUGUAUGCGUGUGGCUUUUUGGCCUCUUUUCAAUAUAUUUUAUGCUUACUUAUCAAAAAAAAAAAAAAAAACUUGUUUACAUCUGCUUACUGAGCAGCCUUGGUCUAGAAGUAAAGAUGAUGUGUUGCAUUAAAAAAAAGAAUGACCAGAACUUUCUCAACAGUGCAAUGAUUUGUAUCAUAGGUUUAUUUUCUUUUAGAACUUAAAUCCUUACUUGGGGUUUUAGUCAUCAAAAAAGCAAAAAAAAAUUCUUGCACGGGAUUUUCAUGCAACCCUAUUUCUUUUGAACUGAAAGAUGUUUUCUAAUCUUAACUAUGAUGAAAUCUAUCUAUUGAGCCAGUUAGGGCAUGGUGGUGGUGAGUGCCUUUAUAAACUAGUUACUUUUUGCAUGUGGAAGUGUGUCUCGAACUUGGUUAGGUCACAGUUAAAACCAAAAUAAGCUUAAGAUCCUAUAAAAAACUAGUCUGGGGUCAGCACUCCAUAGAUGAUGGAUCUGGGCACUGGGGUGUCAUUAACAUCGAAUCCUACCAGAGAUUCUUUAUUUCACCCUAUUUUUUUAGUUCCCUUCCUUUUCUGUUCCUGGUUUUGCUUUGCUCUUCUUUCCUUUCCUUGAGGGUACUCUUCUAUAUUUAUUCUCCCUUUUGAUAGGCAAAUAGAAAGUAAAACAACAAACACUUAAAAAAAAAGUUUCACCCUGGUACACUUGAGUUAUACAAGAAGCACUUGACAAAGCAAAAAAUAAAAAAUAAAAAAGUGAAUGACCACACUAAAGCCAAAACAAGGGCCUUAGUUUACCUCAUUAUAUCAGUGAAAUCUAGAAAAGACAGCAUCCUCUGCCUGACAGAAUCCCUGACCAACAGGACAGAUUUGAGGAGCAUGUAUAAUGUAAUGAAAUAAACUCCAAAAGGUGGUUCUUUGCACUUCAGUCCUUUUUUCCCAUAAAAUUCCUUGCCAGCAUAACUAAGACUCCCUUGCUGAAUAAAGCAGCACCCAAGAGAGUGCAAGGAUGAAAAGGAAAAGAACCCAUAGGAUACAAGUCGCCUCACUAUUUCUACAUGCUCUUUCUCUCUCCCAGUCUCUCUCCCUUUACCUCUGCUUGUCAUGCCAUGUUAUUGCAAAUGGCAUUUUUGAGGAAACUCCUGAACCUGUUUAACUAUCAAUUUUGCGAUGUAAUAUGCUACUAAACAACAUUAUGAGGAAUGAAUUUUAGAUAAAUACAUUUUCUGAGUGUUUUAUUUGAAUAUUUCUUUUGAAAGAAAAUGUUCUGGAUAAUGUGCUCAUAUCGCUUAUCGAUUGGACACUGAUGGUCUGCUAUUUUUGCUUGUAUAUUCUUUUUUAUUUUAUUUUAUAAUUUUUUAUGUUUGCAGAAAGCAAAUGCAUUGUCAACACUAGAGGGUUACAGUGGUUAUGGAGCUGAACAAGGUGAAAAUGUACGUGGCAUUCUUGGGUCUUCUAAUUUAUUUUACAUUUUUGUAAUACAUGAACAUUGCUAUUUCUUUGAUUGCAUUUGACGAUCUAAGACUUGGUAAAUGCACUCUUUGCUCGCAUGACUAUAUCCGUUCCAUCAUCAGUGACUUUUUCUCAUGUUUAAAUCUUAUCCAUGAACUUACAGAGUUUUCUUGCACAUUCAUAUGUGGACUGAUAUAUUGAUGCUGUAGUUUUUCUUUGUUUUACAAAGUCAAUGUAGGGUUUUUCUUUUUGAAUGUUUUUAUUUCAUCAGAAUUAAAAGAAAGCAUUAACACACUUCCUUUUUUUUUUGGUUUCUUUUGGGUUUCUGUCUAUUUGAUUUUCUAAACAAAGUGUUUUGUUUACUCUGGACUAUGGUCCUCCAAGUCCUGCAUGGUUUUUUCUAUAUCCUCUUACAUCAUUGGGAGAGUAAUCAUAUGUAAGUUUCUAAAAUUAGGCAUGUGGGGUCAUUGUUUAAAGUAAGGCUAUAGCUAUAGGUCACAAAUAUGUGCCUGUACAUAUACAACUGUGUAGUUUCUUUUCUGAAAAUUAUUGUCAAUUUUUACACAUUAAUUCCUUGAGUAUUAAUUGUUCUUUUGUAUUUUGCUUUUAAUUUUUUAGUUUAAAAAUUUUGUGUAUUUUAUAAUACAUGAUAACAGAUUUUGGAAGCUGACACAUGGUUUGCAUUCACAUCUAAUAAUAGGACGAAAAGGAUGUAAGCUGACACAUGGUUUGAAUUCACUUGUAAUGAUAGGACGAAAAGGAUGUAAUCAUAUUACUUGUCUUUUCGGUUAAAUAUAUAUAAGUAAAUAUUGCGAAAUCAGCUCAACAAAUUUUUAUACUGGCUGUUUACUUGACACCACACUCCUCCAUUUCUGGUUGUGGGAUUGGUUGGGUCAAACUUGAGAUUGUAGCCAUAGCAUGGGUUGAUAUUUUUAGUCCAGAAGUCUUUUUAAGCAUUCAUAAAACUUUUUAAAAGCUCUUGUGAUAUAAGAUUUGAUUAGUGUUUUCUCUUGUUUACAAUAAAUGUAAUGGAAGGUGAUGUUGUAACACAAAAUGUUGAAUCCAUGCAGCGCUUGAGAGCUGCAAUUGCUUCGACCUAUUAUGGUGACCUCAGCAUAGAGGAAAGUGAUAUAUUUGUCUCUGAUGGUGCAAAAUCUGACAUAUCUCGCCUUCAGGUUUUGUUGUGUUUUGAAUAUUUAUUUAUUCUCUACCUUCCCUUUUUUUGUUUGUUUUUAUCUGUGUCCCGGUGGAUUGCCUAUAUUUGGUGGAUCUUUACUUAUCGAAUGCAAAAAUGAAAAGUAGUUUGGUUUACAAUUAAUUUUAUUGAUAUACUUUAUUUUAAGUUUCUUAAUUUCUCUGUUUCUCCUUUAUGACAGGUCAUGUUUGGGUCUAAUGUUACAAUGGCAGUGCAAGACCCAUCAUACCCGGUAGUUCAUUUUUCUGUAUAAUGAUUUAAAAAAAUUUCAUCUCUGUAGUAUUACCAUGUCAGUUUUAUUUAGGUUCCUAAUUAUUUUAUUCAUUUUGAUAUCUAAAAUAAAAAGGUUGAGUUGUUUUUUCACCAUUUAUUUGGGCUUCUUGUUUAAUUCCUCAUAGAAUGAAGUUGUGCUAAUUUAAUUUUUUGUGAAUACAAUGCAACUCCCAACAUGAUUCUAGUUUAUCAAUCUGUUUAAUAAAACUUUCACUAUGUAUUUUUUGAUAAUUGUAAAAGUAUUAGAUAGAAAAGGAAGCAUAUAUGAUGUAUACAAAGCAUCCAAAAGACCAAAAAGGCGUAGGAACGCAAAAAAGGUAGCCACGACCUACAAGGAGCCUACCCAAUCCACAAAUUCUAAUAACGACAAAGAAUUGUUCCCAAUGUAAAAUCUUACCCACUCCCAAAAAAGGUUCAAGAAAGAACUUUUAAUUGUUUGGUCCUAGUUUUCACAAUUUUUGAAGUUUCUCCUAUUUUUCUCCCUCCAUAUAGUGCACAAUGCACAUAACAGAGAAACCUUCUCUUUUUUUUUUUUCAACUAUGUAUUGUUUCAACAUGGUGUGAUAUUUCUGAGAUGAGGCUUGAUGAUGUGCUUUUGGUUCAACUCUCAGUCUCUCUCUCUCUCUGUGAGGGCCCAAUCCGCCUGCUCUCUCACUCAGGCCGACACUGGUGUAGGGAUACAUUUGUUUGGGUGGGUCCACUUGGAAAGUUGACUAAUGGACAAUUUAGUGUUUUUCUAAUGGUUCAUCUUUUGGCCCCAGAAAAAGUGUCCUAGAUGAUGGUUGGAUUUGUUUAGUUGGGCUGACUUUUGUUGUAGCAAUCUACUUGGUUGGAUUUGUUUAUUAAAUGCUAAAAACACCACAUACAUGUAAUGUAAUCCUAUUUAGAUAAUGACUAAAUGUUGGAAUACUUGCAGGCUUAUGUAGACUCAAGUGUUAUCUUGGGCCAGACUGGGCAGUUUCAGAAGGAUGUUGAGAAGUAUGGAAACAUUGAAUACAUGAAGUGUAAUCCAGAGAAUGGUUUCUUUCCUGAUUUAUCUACUGUUUCACGAACCGAUAUCAUUUUUUUCUGUUCACCAAACAAUCCCACUGGUAAUGCUGCAACAAGGGAGCAACUGACCCGACUUGUACAGUUUGCCAAGGACAAUGGAUCAAUUCUAGUGUAUGAUUCGGCAUAUGCCAUGUAUAUCUCGGAUGACAGCCCAAGGUCCAUCUUUGAAAUUCCUGGAGCCAAGGAGGUUAGUUAGGAGAUUAUGAUUGGUUUUUCUACUCUACAAGCCUUGCUUUCUAUUCUUCAUAUGUUCUCUUCAUAUUCUAGUUAACUUUCGCCCCUUGGGUAAUUCAGAUAGAUGUUGUUUGACAUUCUGAUGGGGAUGGGAGCUACAGCUCAUCUUACAAUGCAAUUGUGUUUGAGUGUCCUUGCUCAUAACUUUUGAUUUAUGUGAUCUCCAUUCUCAUCAUCUUUUAAACUCUAUUCUGUUGAGCAUGUUAUGAAUAAUGGAUUGUUUCCUGGUUUAUCACAUCAUGUUAGUUUUUAUAAAAUGUUAUUUUCAUUUUCUUUUUUCAUCAAUUGGUAGAAUUGUGGGUAAUUUUGAUUAAAAAUGUGAUUUUACACUGGUGUUAUGUUGAAACACCUGGGAAAUGAAAUGAUUCACUUGUGUUUUGACAUUUUGAAAGGUUUCUAUUUUAUUGUUUUUGGCAUUUGAAGUGGUCUUUAUUUUGGGGUUGGAUCAUGCAUACUAAAAAAAAGCAUGUCAUAAAUAACCAUUUCACUCAUGGUAAAAAUGCACCAAUAAAAAUGGCUUUUGAACUCUAAUUUCUUAGGGGAAGUGAUUUCAAUUUUACUUCUCUGCAUUUUAUCUUUUUUCAAAUUCAUCAAGCAUUAAUUUUUUUUUUAAUGGCAAUUCGUCAAUGAUUAAAUGCCUCUCCUAAAUUUAUUGGUUGUAUAAUUUAAACUUGUGGUUAUGCUUUGCAUUUUUUUUGUUACUAUUGUAUUUUCUCUGCUCAUGUCUUUGGAAAAGAAAACUGAAUGGUUUCUUUUCCAUGGACAUCCAUUACCCCUGUACUACUCUCUAGAAAAAGGGUUGGAACCAAUGUAUGUAAGAGCUAUGCUUUGGAGAAAUGCUUGCUUGAACCUGUUUUUUAAUACCUUUUUAAGCUUUUAUUUUUGUUGGGCGUGGCAAGUCUCUUCGCUAUACAACUGAUAGCAUAACGAAAUUAAGUUAAACCUUUGGGUCUAGGAAAUCAGUUUAGGGAGGGGUGAUCAGAACUUUGGGCUGAGACUGGGUGUUGUGAAUCCAUUGUCAUGGUCUGAGGGAUGCCAACUGCCUUCACGGUUUCUUUUAUCAACAACUAUACUGGGGACUAUAUCUAUGUAGAAUUCAUGUAUAAUUUAUUGGCCUUAUAUGGUGUUGCAGGUUGCAAUUGAGGUAUCAUCAUUUUCCAAAUAUGCUGGGUUCACUGGAGUCCGUCUUGGUUGGACUGUGGUUCCAAAGGAGCUUCUAUAUUCAGAUGGAUUUCCUGUUGCCAAGGACUUUAACCGCAUUGUAUGUACAACCUUCAAUGGUGCAUCCAACAUUUCUCAAGCUGGUGGUCUGGCUUGUCUUUCACCAGAAGGCCUAGAGGUCAGUUUUGUGCUAUCAGUUUCUUGUUAUGGUUGCGAUGAUAAAAGUAAUUGAAGCAAAAAUUUGGAAAUCUUAAUAAUUUCAACUCCAAAUAAUUUCUAUAAGAUUUCAAAUUUUCUUUUUCUCAAGUACUAGAAAGAGCAUGCUUCAUACCAAUCCAAAUACAAAUUUAUGGAUUAUUCUAUUCCCUGCAGGCUAUGCAUAAAGUGGUCGGUUUCUACCAAGAAAAUACUAAUAUAAUCAUGGAAACAUUCACUUCUCUUGGUUUUAGCGUGUACGGAGGUAAGAAUGCACCAUAUGUUUGGGUUCAUUUCCCUGGUCAAAGCUCAUGGGACGUGUUCAGCGAGAUACUUGAGAAGACCCAUGUGGUAACAACACCUGGCAGUGGUUUCGGACCAGCUGGUGAUGGUUUCAUUAGGGUUAGUGCUUUUGGUCACAGAGGCAAUGUUCUAGAGGCCUGCAAAAGAUUCAAGCAGUUAUACAAGUGAAGUGUAGUAUGAGAAUGGUUUCAGUUUCAGCUGCCCUCCAUUAUGCUUCAUGUUCUCUGUGAUAGGAGGACUGGAGCAGGAUUCGUAUCUUAUGUAUCUCCCUCGUUAUUUCUCAUCAGAUUUUAUUUUUAAUUUGGUGUAGAACCUAGUAACUUUUACGAAGAUUGAUUUUGAAUUGGUAUACCCUGAUCCAUUUGUAAGGCUCCAAAAUUUGGUCACUGUUACAAAAGUCACAGCUUGGAAAGCUUUCGUAGGGACAAAAAUAGCAUAACCCAAGCACAUUUUGAUCAGAGGAGAGCAAUUUUCAACACACAAACUGAACUCAGCUCCCAACUCAACGGUCUGAGGAUCACCACCUAAUCUCAGUGGGUUUGUCUUUGCUGCUCUGCCAUGGCAUAUAUUCCGUCUAAUGCUUUGUUUAGGCAGGGAGCAAAUGAGGACAAAUUUGACGACCCAUUUUGCAACAAUGCCAUGGGCUUGAAUCAAAGAACCCACUGAGAUUAGGUGGUGAUCAGCUGCAAGUGUUUAUGGCUGGGGUUUUAUUCACCAGUUGGGCACAAAUUAACAGGGCCACAAAUGGCAUAUUUUGAGGCCAAGAGGAUCACAUAACAGGAAAGGUUUGAGAAUAAACUUAUUUCUAAAAUCAUUUGUGCCGGUGUAUAGCAGCAAACUAGCAUUUCCUAUAUCUCCAAAGUUCAUUCCAGCUACUGAUACAUUUAAGAUACAAUGGACAUCUAUUUUACAAUACUCCAUCGAAGUAUGCCCGAAACACACCUUAACUAUUCUGUUCCAUAAUAUAAGAACUAAUCCUUCAGGGGUUGAUGAUUUACAAGUACGAAAUUAGAUUGUCUAAAACUGCUCUAUGCUCUUCAUAAUAUUAUGCUCUUUGCAAGUUGUUUUGUUGUCCAGUUAGGUUGCACCGGCUACAGUGCACUGUAUGCUUCUCCCUAUUAAGAUCCUAUACGCAUAUUCACUUCUUUUCAGGGCGUCCUGGUGGUAGACGGAACUUUGGUGGUUGCACAACUGGAGUGUCAUCAUCCACAGGAGCCUCGACUGUUCUUCUCCACUCAAUUUUACAGGGAAUGGGGCGUAUCUCUUCUGAAUAUGCUGCACGAUAACUUGCCACAGUGAAACACUUCUCUGUAAAUGCGUACACAUCUUUUCCACAUGAGAGGAGGGCUGCAACAGCAUGGGAGCAUGAGAUUCCAUAGAGUUGCCAAUCACGGCAGGAACAGCACUGAGUCCCUAUGUUCACAAUGUAUGAUCACUCGGCUGAUAGAACCUCAAAUUCUACUUGAUAUGUUGACGCACGGCCAAUCACCUUCAUCAUUCGCUUAUCAGCAGAUGGGGCUAAAACUGAAAACCAUGAAUUGCUCUUUAAACGCUGCUCCUCAAACUCAGCCAUUAGUUUACCGUGAAUCUGCUCAAUCACCUGGAUUAUGGGCAGCUCCCAUGCUUCAAGAUUCCAUUUAUUGAAUUCCUCAAUAUUUGAAGAGAGAUGACCAUAUCGUGUUCCUUUGAAAUACACCAAUGCCCAACAGGAAGUUGGAAACUGUUGAAUCCACUUGGCUGCUUCAGAAGAAACCUCCUCAAUCUCUGCCAUUUUUUCUUUAAAAGCAAUGGUAGUUGUGGCAUAUGCUGCUUUCCAUAGAAGAUGAACAAGCCUCCAGUUCUUGAACUCUUUGCCCAUGCUUUCACUCAAGUGGCGCAUACAGAAAGCAUGGGAAGAAGUCAGGAAUUUCCUCUUUACAACAUCUUGGAUGCCCUUCUGUCAGUCCGAUAAAAAUGUGAGUUGAGGUACAUUCUCUGUGUUCAUUUCUAGUGCCUUAAUAACUCUGACAGGAACCACAUCCAGAGAAAACAGGAAUUGGGUCGACCCCUAACUUGGGGCUUCUGGAGAUAAAUAUGCACACCUUCCUUCUCAGCUUGUCGUCGCAAUUCUGCAGCUUCCUUCAUAAGAAUUGCAGCUAUUCUAUUCUCCGUGUCCAAAUCCAUCUCACCCUGCUAAGCAAGUUCCAAGAUAUAAACCAGUCUGUUAUGUCUCCAAAAGAAGAAAUAUGAAUUGAAAUAGAAAACAGUGCAAUAAUAUUAAAGGCAAGCUUAGACUGCCUCCACCAUACAACCAUAUUCCAUGUGUAAGAACAUCCCAGGUCUCUCUUAAUCAAUUUCUACUGUGUGUAAUUUAUUUUGGUAUGUAGCAUUGACUGUUACAACCCGUGUAACUUUCUAAGGAUUAAAACACAGACACUUUCAUACUUUUGCGCUAUCCAUUAAACAACCAAUGAAGUUUGAAAAAGAAUGAAGAUACUUUUUCUUCGUCCUUUACCCUUCCCUCAUUUUCCGACAUCAAAACUGAGUCUUAUGGUAAGGAUGCAAAACUCCAACCAUGCUUUCAAAAUCGUAAAAAGAAAAAAAUAAAUCAAACACCCAGCGCGCAUCACAAACCCUAAUUCUCGAAUAUUCGUUUUUCAGAUGAUCGAUGCCCAUUACAUUAAUCACAACAAACCCAGUAACGUAUAAAGGGACGAUAUUGAAUUCCCAAAUAUUCAUUUUUGCUAGACGAUUGAUGCCAAUUACAUUAAACAAAACAAACCCGGCAACGUACAAAGGGCCACAGUACGUGCAUAUCACAAACCCUAAUACAUGGAUUUCAAGAUCGGAUCUUUUUUUAAAGUUAAAACCAAUGCUUGGUCUAUCUUUUUUUUGCUUUCCCUGAUACCAAAUAAUAGCAAAAGAUUUCGAUUUUUCUUGCGACACCAUCAAGAGCUAACUAAACGAUUUUCUCUGCUUGGUUGCUGAGAAAUUGAAGGAAAAGCAGAGAAACUGAGUUGAACCCUAGGAUAGAAACCUGGACUCAUCUUUCUUAUCUUUUUCUACCAUUUUUCCCGGCAAACGAUCAUACGAGUAUUAAAAAAUUUAAAAAAACAAAAUAUAAAAACGAAAAAAUAAAAUAAAAACCUCGUCUCUUCUUCUUCUUGUGUUUCUGUGGUCGAAUUCUGCCUCUUUCUCUCUCCUCGGUUCCCUCUUUCUCUCUCCUACGGCCUUGUUUCCAGAAAGCUCUGACUCGUCUUUUUUACUUAUUUAUUUAUAUUUAUAGUUACUUUUUGCAAAAUAAUGGCUUUUAUUUCACUUUGAGGACUCCAAAUACAUCAUAUUUGACUAAUGACCCCGCUUAAAAAUGAAAACUACAAAAUUUCAGUCGGUCCUGGAAGGCUAGAUACAUUUUGUAGUUUUUAUUUUUUUUAAAUAAUUUUUUUUUCUUGUUUUUAUUUAAAAUACGAUUCAUUUUAAAAAAUAAAAACUAUGUUUAUAAACUAAAAUCUAUAAAAUCUUAUUUUAUUUUGAAAUUUUAUAAAACUAAAAAAAAAAUGAAAUGUAUAAUUUAAAUUUUUUAUACUAUAUAUAAAAUAUAUUAUUAUAAAUAUUAAUAUUAUUUUUUUAUAAAUAAUAAUAAUAUCAUUAAUAUACAUAUAUCAUAUUAUAUUUUUCAUUAUUUUUUAUUUUUUAGCAUUAUUAUAUUAAAAUAGUGUAAUAAAAUAUCUUAUGCUUAUAAUUAAAUACCCUAAAAUAAAUUAGUUAAAUUAUUUUUAAAAUACAAAUAUAUCCACUUAUUUAUAAAAAGAUUCAUUUUAAGUAUAUAUAAAAUGAUAUUAUUCAUAUUCCUUAUUGUGAGUUCUACAAGGUUUGUGAUUUUUAUUUUGUUUUUUUUUUCAAUUUAAAAGACACUCUUCAAACAUGUAUUCAAUUCAAAUGGACUUCUUUUUAUUUUUUAUUUUUUUUAAAGAGGAAAACAAUUUAAAUAUAUACAAAAGUAUUUUCUAAAUAAUUAUUGUACCAAAAUUCUUUAAAAUUAUUUUAAAAAAAUUAAGACGAUACAUUGAAGUGAUUUUGAUUAAAAUGUAUUAGAUACUCUUUCCAAAAUCCAAUAAAAUUCUCAUUUUUAAAUACUUUUGACAUAAAAUCCUCUUACUCUUACUUGCAAUUCCCAUGUCUAAGGAAAAAGCUACAUUAUAUUGUUGAAACUUCAAUUAAGGAAAUAUUGUGAGUAGAUAUCAAUCAAAUCCAAGUCUAGAACACCGAAUAGUUGCUAGCAUAUACUCAAGUAUCUUUAGAGAACGAGAGAUUAUAUGCUUGUAUUCUAGAGUAUUGAGAUAGUUUAGAGGAAUGACGUGACGAUUGAAUAGAUACCUUUUGUGGAGAACCUUUCACCAGGACAUUGACCGAGAGAGUCUUUGUUGGUCACAAGGAUAAUAUAUGUUUUAGAUGAGUAUUUAGUAUACUUUGAUAGCAUAAUGCUUUAAGGGUUAGUGGGAGAAUGUUAGGAUAGAGCUCUUAAAAGUAUGACAUGAUGUAGUGAAUUUGGAAUUCAUUAUUCAUUUGAUGAUAUUUCAAGUUCACUUUUAUCUAUCCUUAUUCCAUAUAUUAUACUCUAUAAGCAUUCCAACUUAACAUUUCUUUUAUUGUACAUGACUUGGAUGCAUUAGGAGUUGCAUGAAAGAUCCAAGUCAUGGGUUUCUUUCAAGUAAAUGAUUUAUUCAUAAUCGGUUUGUGGAAUUGGACAAUCCAUUUGAUACUAUAAUGCACCACCUCCUAAUUGGAGGAAUAGAUGGUCUUGGUCAUCAAGAUGGGUCCCCAUGGUGAGUGUACUAGUAUGUAUGGUUAUAUAUUGUACAUGACCUAUGAUAAGUCAUGACAUAAGACUAUUAAGUAGUCAUGACUUCAUCAAGUUGUUAUACUGUAUAAUCUUUUAACCUUAAAAGAAUAUUGAAUUUGUAUAGAAGUUAGUAGUGACUUUGACAUAGGUGAGAUCAUAAGUUGAUUAUAUAUUCCCUAUGGAUUGGGUCACUAUUGAUAAAAACUUAUAGCAAUAGGUAUUUCAAUAAAGGCAUCAUGAUAUCUCAUGGACUUUGAGAUGGUAUGUCCCCUUAGGUGAUCCUAAGGACGUGUAAUCACAAAAUCCGUAGGGUUGCAAGAAUUCCUUUAGUGGAAUUUGACAUAUGCUCUUAGUGACCUAGAGUAUAUCAUUUGAUCAUAUAAUAGGAUGAUUUAUAACUUAAGGAUUAUAGAGGUGGUUUUGAAAGGCUAAUAGUUUGAGAUUGUAUAUAGUAAAUAGCAGGUUACAAACUCAAGCACUUGUGUUUCAUUGUAAUAACGUAAGGUAUUGGAGUGUAGUUGACUUUCUAUAAUGAGAUAUUAAGUCAACUUCAGAAUUGGAUUAUGAGGGAACCAAUAUUGUCCUAUGGGUCCUAGUGGUCUUUACUUGAGUUCAUAUUCCUUGAUGGUAUGGUUUAUGAGGGUUGAAUGAGUUUUUAAUUCACUUAUGUGUAUAAGAGCAUUUUGAUAAUUAUGUAUUGUUGCAUAGGGGUAAGUGAAUGAUAUUUAUGAAUUGUACUAAUUGACUAAUUGGAGCUCUAUUGAGUUAAUUAAUCAAUUAGUAACAUUGUUGGGUUAUAUUAAGAAAGUUAUGUUUAUAGUGGGAGCUUAGUAGGUAGCUUAUAAAUGCCCUUUUAGGGGUUAGGGCUUCUAACUUUGUCACUUUCUCCUUGUAGUCCAAAGAGAGAACCCUAAUCUCUAGUCUUGAGAUUUCCAUCAUCUUAGUGCAUAGACUCAAGGGGGAGUCAUCGGGUGGAAGGAUACUAUGUUUACAAGAUCUACUACGACUUUGGAGUCUUUUACAUUCACUGAAUCAAUCCGAGAACAUCCGAAUCGGAGGUAUGUGGCAUUUUUAUCUAGAUCUAUGUUUUAUAUGGUAUUUUGAGUGUUUUGGAAUAUUAAGUUUUCCAUUGCAAUAGAUUUAUUAAGUCUAAGAUAGAUUUUCAUGGACUCUAAUGAUCUAGGGCUUGGAAUAAAGCAAUCCAAGAUUUCCUAACAAAUAUUUGCUAUUAUUGUUAAAAUGGUAAUUAAGGAAAGUUAAGAGUAUUGUAUUAUAAAAAAAGGUGCAAAAGUUAAAGAGUAUUGUAUUAUAAAUAUAAGUGCCCAUUUUAAGUCUUUUACAAAUGUGAACCCUUGUUUUAGCUUGCUACAACUUUGAUCCUUUAUAUCAUUGAGAGUACUUCUAGUUCUUAUAAAAAUUUUCUAACUGUCACUCUUUGUCUUUUCCUACAACAUCCAAAUUUCAAUAACAACAAUGUUAUUACCAUCCUCAACAUUGAUGAAGGUGGAGUAAGAGAGAUUAUCCCAAGGAUCAUCCUUAGCCCUCUUGAGUCUCAACUUUGGGUAAUAUCUAUGUAGCAACAAGUCCCUUAAGCAAACUUAAUCUUAACAAAGUUUAUUCUAUAUUAUAAUUCAAAUAUUAAUUCUUAAGCCAUCUCAACUUGACUCAAAAGAGGGAUGGAAAGGAUGUAAGAAUUAUAGACUACUUUGAUGUGAUUGAUGGGACAAACAUAGGUGGUCUUAUCAUUACCAUGCUAAUAACAUGCUUCAUGUUUGUUGCCAAAGAUAUCAAGGAUUUUUAACUAAAUUAUGAAGGUAAUUAUGUUGAAUAGGAUUAAUAAUUUAAGCAAUUAUUUUAUUUUAUUUAUAGUUAUUAACAACAUUUUGACUUUUUUUUUUUUUUUUUGAAUAACACUUUUGUGUUUCCUAGUUUUAAAACAAAAGGCAAUCAAAACCCUAUUAGGUCCAAAAUAUGACGAGAAGUAUCUCCUCAACCUUUUAAAGGAAAAACUAAGAGAUAUUCGAUUACAACGGAUACUUACAAAUAUUGUAAUCCCUAGUUAUGGCAUCAAGCUUUCCUACAUUACAAUCUUUUUUGGUUAUCAGGUUUAGCUUUAUCACUUAGAAGUUCUUUUCCAAGCCUCAUAAUUUACUUCUUUCAUGUUAAAUUAGUGUGCAAUUUUGAUUAAUAUUGUUUGUCCUUUUAUUUAAUUUCAUGCUUUAGGUGAAAAGCAAAUCAAGCUUAGAUGCCUUGCUGUCGAAAAUAUGUAUUGGAACAUUGAGAACACCAAUUUAUAUCCCAGCCCAUUAUUUUGAAAUCAAAGGUUCCAAAAGGGAAAGUGAGAGAAUUCAAUGUCAUUGAUGGUUGUACAGCCCUAAACAAUCCAGUAUGUACACAAAUUGGAUAGUGUUUCGUUUACUAUAAAUCUUAUCUUAAUGAAAAUUGGAACAUAUGUUAAUCUUCUUCUUCUACAUCUAUGGCAAUUAAUUCCACUUAAUUAUUGUUAAAUUUUUUCAGACUUUGAUUACAAUUGGAGAAGUGAAGAAGGAGAUCAACCGGGUGAGUCUUCACUUCUUCCUUGUAAGGCUAGCAGAUUAUGGUCAGUGCCUAGUGAUAUUAUUAAGAACAAGUUAACAUAGGAAGAGAAAUAUGAUACAAACAAAGCAACUACAUGGGGUGUGUUGGGAUGGUUGACUAGUGAUGUUUCCACCACCCCACUAGUGAAUGCAUUCACCCAAGCUGCACACCUAAUUUUUAUAUUUGCAUUGUCCCUCACAAGGAUGAAAAUGUUAGUUUUCAUGGAUAUAUAUUGAUUAUUUGAUUUUAUGGAUAUAUUAAAAAAUAUCGAUAAAAAUAUUGAUAAAGAAAAAAUUGAUAAAAUUCAUAGAAAUAUGAUAAAAAAUUCCAAAAAAAAAAAAAAAAGAUAAAACAUGCAAUAGAACAAAUAUUAAAUUUGUUUUCAUUGUAUGUAUGUAUUUUUUCUUAUAUUUAAUUACUCCAUAAAAGAUAUAUAGAAAGAAUUAUUAAGAUAGGAUGGUUUUAUUAAUUUUGAUUUGUAUUUAAAAUGAUUAAAAUUAAUUUUUUCUAUCGACGUAUUCGAUAUUCCAAAAUUUUGGCCAAAUAAAGCAACCACGAAACCAAUGAGAAAUAUCUUCUCUACGACGUUUCAAAAGAGUCCUAACAACAAAGUCAAAACAUAUACCUAUUCAAUGAAAUUAUAAUUCGAUGCUAAUAUUACACUGAAAAUAACAAAUAUUAUAUCAAACAGCUUGAAAAGAAAUGACUACAUACUACACCUAAAAUAUGGACAAUUUUUUUAUUAUUUUUUUGUAUGAUAUCAUUCAAUCAGUCGAUUUUGUACCAUUAAAGCCAUGAGUAAUGUAGCCAUAUUUCAAGUUCUAAACUAAUUUUUUUUAUUGAAAAAUAAAUAAAUUUGGACGUUGAUGUGGGUUUUACUUUUCUUUGGUUUCAAAUGAGAUGAUAAAAGCUAAUCAAAUGUCUUAGAAACAAAGGCAAAAGCAUGGAAGAACAUAAAUGUAGGGACCCCUCCCUCCGAGAACACGUGGCACGCAUCUUACAGUGACACAUGGCAUGCAUCUUACGGUGACACAUGACACGCAUUGUCAUCCGAGUCACCCUCAUCCGGAUCUUCCUAUAAAGCACACAUGGCACGUUUUUUCGGACUACCUCAAGAAAGAUCAAACGACACUUAUAAACAUAUCAUCCGGACGGCUUACACAAUACACCCGGAUGAUCAACAUAUGCCAUCCGGAUACAAUGGUCCGGAUCAUUGACUGAAGUAAGCAAGUCUCACACGUUACCACAACAGUCUGUCAUAGCCCACGUUCCGCCGCCUGCAGGGUGAGAGGACAAGAUGAAGUGACAACAAGUCACUUCCUAUGAUCAUUCCACAUGGUCACUUCCCACGAUCUCUGACAGCCGCAUCACCUACCACGAUCUCUGUCAGCCACCCGUAGGGUGGUGAUAGCCCUGCCACCACCUAAUGUCAUCAUAACAACACAAAAUAUCUCUCUGUCAUUAAAGAGGCAAUCAAAGCUUCUGAUACUAUAUAUAUCAACCUUCACACAAGGAGGAGGGUAAACUUGCGAUACCUAGUAAAAAGCCAACUGAUUAUCUCUCUCCAACCAUGGCUGACAAAACCAUCGAAGGAUGCGUUCGGACACCGUGUCCGGACGUCUUUUGCAGGUAUAGCGACUGAGUCAAGAACCUAUAUUGGUUGAGGUCGCGCAUCCAUCCAUUUGGCAACUACGUGGAACAACAAGAGCGCGAGGUAUCAACAAUAAAGUCUUGUUAUGGAUGACUUCUUGUUGGAUUUCUCCCGGGGCAAACACAAGGAGAAGAAGAAGAUGAUUUCAUAAGGGUAUUUUUGACAUUUUCACCAUUAUUUACAUAAAUGAUUUUUUUAGUUUCUUGUAAACAAUCUUUUGAUUUUUUUUACUCAUCCAUAUUUUAAAUUUUUCGAUAUUUUUAAUAAAAAUAUUUUUCAUUAUUUUUAGCCAUCAUAAUCUAUAUUUUUUAUAAUGAAAAAAUAUUUUUAUUAUUUAUAAUAAAAAUAAUAAUUAUCCAUCUUUUAUAAUAAAAAUUGAGAAGAAAAACAUUUAUGAUAAUUUUUUUUCUUCAUUUUUGACCAUCAUUAUCCAUAUUUUUUCAUGUCUACCUUCAUCAUCUUUCUUCUUUAUUGAAGACAUGAUUUACUAAUUAAAAAAAUAUAUAUUUUGGUGCAAAAAUCCCAUUAGCCAUUUAUUUUUUUAACUUGCAAUAUUCUCCAUUAUGUCUCACAAUUAAUUUUAACCCUUUUCUAAGCAUUUUUUUUAAUCCAUACACUUAUUUAUGCCCUUCCACAUGGAUAUAAUUUAAGGUUUAUUAUUUAUGUAAUUUUUUUUUUUUACAAAUAUUGGUUGUAAAAAUAGUUUUAGAAAAAAUAUUUAAAAAGAAUUUAGAAGUGAAAAUAUAAGAAAUUUUUUUAAAAAUGUUAUAAGUGUUUGAAUUUAAAAGGUUAAUACUAAGUGGGGGUUUGAAAAUAUAGUACUGGAUGUUCUUAAAAAUGUGUGGAAGUAUAAUGUUGGAUGCUUCUAAAAUCAUCCAAUAUUACAACUCUAGAUACUCGUUCUAAUCAUUUAUUUUCUAUUGAUAGAAUACAAAAAAUUGGUUCAAAUGCAUUUUUAACAUCGUUGGAGAUGAUUAAUUGUUUAUCCAUUGCUCAAAAACCAUAAAUUUCUUUAAAAAAUUAUUAGGGUUUUGGAGAGAUUAGAGGAGAAAAAAAUUGAAAGAAGAAGAUGAAAAUGGACAUGUACUAACUCUAAAGGUAUUUUGGUCUUCAAUAAGGGGUGUUUUUGUCCUAAAAAAAAUCAUAAUGUAGGUGGCUCCAUAGAGUGAUUAGGUGGUUAUAGAUCUACUUUUUCUUAUUUUAUUUUUAGGAUAACAUUACCCAUAUAUAAAAAGACUGUUUUACCCUUACAAAUUCAUAUUAAUGCGCCUUUCUUCAAAUCCAACCUCUCCAUCACCCCCAUAAGCUCGAAGUGCAUUCUAAGGUAUUUGCUCCCUUUUUCUCAUUGAUUUCUAUAGAUUAGAUUAAAAAGUGUGUUCUAAGUAUAUGAUGUCAAAGAUGAUUCAAACAAGUAAAAUUGCAUAUUAGAAACACUGGACAAAUAAAUCAUCCUCGAUAUUUAAUUUUUCAAUCAGAAUUUCAUAAAUUAUUGUAAAGAAGUGCAUUCAAAAGAUAUAUUCACUUUCAUUCAAACACUUUUUAUAGUGUCUAAGAGUAUACUUCUAAGUACUAAAAAUGUCUAGAAAUGGACUUCUAGACACUAUAAGAGGAAUUGAUGCUAUAAUUUAAGACAUUUUUAUAAGGUCUAACGUUUUAUACCAUAGUUUAUAAUACUCUUAUAAUAUGAUAUCCAACAUCUAAUAUUAUAGUUCCGAACACUUCCAUAAUAUUUGAUAUUAAACAUUUGUAAUUUCUUUUUUUAAAAUUUAAAACCUUUUUAUUAUUUAUUUUUUCUAUUCUAAAUAUUUUUUUUUCUUUUUUAAAAGGGAAAAAAAAGAAGAAAAAAAUGUAUUUUUUUUUAGAUAUGAUGUGUUUAGUAUGGUUUUAGAAAAAAUACAAAGGAAAAAUUAUUAAAAAAUAAUUUUCUUAUUUAAUUUUACUAUGAAAAAUAAGAAAAACAAAUUAAAUAUAACUAAAAUUAAUUAAAAAUUCAUACAUUUUAAAUUAUUUGAUUUUUACAUAAAAAAAUAAAAUAAUAGAAAUCAAUUUAAAUAAGACAUAAAAUAAUUUAUUAAAUUUAAAUUUAUCUUUUAAAAUUUUUUGUACUUUCCCUUUUUAAUUUUUUUCUCUAUACAUUUUCCCCACCAAACUUAACCCUUUGCUGAUGUGGCUUUAAUUCCAUAGAGGACUUACUUCGGAGGUUGGUUAUAGAAUAUAUAUAACUUUGGAAAUUUAAGCUAUAAUUUCUUUUAUGUUUGGUUUUUGAAAAAUUGUAAGAAAAGAAAAAAACUAUAUCAAAAAAUUAAUUUUAUUGUGUUUAAUUAUAUUAUAAAAAAUAUAUCAAUUAAAAUUAAAUAUAAUUAAAAUUAAUUAAAAAUUUAUAUAUUUAAUUUGUAUAUUAAAGAGUUAAAAUAAAUAAAAUGAGUCUAAAAUAAUAUAUAAAAAUAAUUUAAUUAUUAUAAAUCAAUGUUUUAUUUUCUUUUAUUUUUUAUUUCCAUUUUCUUUAGCUUGUAUUUUUCUUUCAAAUUAAAUCAAAUUUAACCACGUCAUCAAACAGUAGGACGAUGCCAUCUGACGUGGCAUUGUAACGUGAGAACCUAGGGUUUGAAAGUACCAUAUUCCAAAACGGCGGCGUUGUAAUAAAGCUGUUUCAGCUUUUAGAGAACACACUAGAGGCUUUGAGGAUAGAGAGUGGCGUAUCUGUAUCUGCAUCCAAAAACAUGUACUCUCUCAUGUCUUCGCCUUCCAUCUCUUCAUCUUCCUCCUCCUUUUUAGGCCAAACCCACUUCGAUUCCAGGUAUCAAAAUUCAACUUCUUUAUCCUCUGUUUGAUUGCUGAGAAAAUAUGGGGAAAAGAAGAAACCUAUAGAAAAUUUUGGGUAUUAUGAGCAUGUUUGGUUCCUGAUUUUAAGAACUUAUUAGUGUUCUUGAAAACAAAAAAUACAAAAAACUUAUUUGGGAAAGGGAGAAUGUUUUUAUUUUUUGUGUUUUUUAUAUUUUCAAAAACCCAUUUUUUGAUAACAAUAAAAGGAUGUUAUCAUUAUUUUUUCAUUAUUUAAAGAAUAAAAUGUUUUUCUUAGUUUCUUUUUCUUCUUUUGGUGUGUCCUCUUGGUACAAAGAUGAGCUCCAUCCAUCCACUACAUCCCCAUCCGUAAACUCUUUCUUCUUUCUUAAAUUAUUGAAAUUAAUAUACUUACAUAUGAUGACAAAGUCAUAAUUUUAAAAAAAAAAAAUUAUAACUGAUGUAAAAAUUACAAAAUGAAAUAAUUUUUUUAAUUUAAAUGAAUUGUAUAUAUGAAAAUCAUUUAUAUAUUUAUAAUAUCAAGUUAAUGGAAGAAAACACUUUAUUAAUUAAAAAAAACUUUUAAACAUAUUUUUUGUUUUACUAUUCCAAUGAUGAAAAUAUCGGAAUAUAUCAACAAUAUAUCGUCGAAAUAUUGAGACAUAUUGACAAUAUAUCGUUGAUAUAUUAUGUAUCCGAGAAGGUAUAUCUUAAAUAUCAAUAAAUAUUGGUAAAUAUUGACGAUGUAUUUACGAUAUAUUGGUAAUUAAUGUGAUAUAAGCAAAAUAUCAGUCCUAAAUGGGAAAAAAUCACUGAAAUUUCAACGCUAUAUGAGAUAUAUCUCAUAUCUCCAAAAUCAGUAAAAAAUUAAAUUAUUAUAAAUAAGUUAAUUUUAAUUAUCUUAUAAUUUAUUUUGUUUACUAAUUAAAUAUAAAACAAAUAUAAAAUCAUAAAUAAAAUUAUCAAUAUUUUUAAAUAAAAAUAUUUUGUAUCAAAAUGUACUAAUAUUUUAAAAUAAAAAAUCAUAAAUAUAUUUAAAUAACAUAAUUAGUACAUUUACAAUAAUUUAGUUUUAAAUUAAUAAUUUUAUUUUAUUUUGAUAUUUAAGUGUAAUAAUAGUAUAUUGAGAAUGAUAGUACAUUUUCAAUAAUUUAGUUUUAAAUUAAUAAUUUUAUUUUAUUUUGAUAUUUAAGUGUUAUGAUAGUAUAUUGAGAAUAAAUUAACUGAGUACAUGUAUAAAUUAGUAUAACAUUGAAUUUAAAUUAAUACAUUUUUACAAUUAAUUAAUAUAUUUUCAAUAGAGGUAAGUAAAUUAACUUAAUAUAAUAAUAUAUUUAAAUCAUAUAAUUAGUAUAUUUGUAAUAAUUUAACUUCAUAACGAGUUUACACUUAUAAAAUUCAUAUUUCUUAUUAACCGACAUUAUAUAAUUAAAUUUAUUAUCGUAAAUCAUAUCAUAUAUAUAUUAAUUUUUUUAAAAAAUAACUUUAAAAUAUCAUACAUAUAUUAAUUUUUUUUAAAAAUAACUUUAAAAUAUCUAUUAUACUUCUAAUUUCAUUUUAAAAAGUUUUUUUCUUACAUUUUCAUAAGUUUUGAUGAAUUUUUGGUUUAUGAAUAUUUUGUGUCAAAAUAUCCACCGAUAUAUUUCAUCUAAUUAUCGAUAUAUCCGUGAUUAUCGAUAUUUUCAUUAUUGACUUAUUCUAAAAAACUUUUUUAUUAAUUCAACCAAACGUGUUAUUUUUUAGAAUAAAAACUAUCUUUCAGAAUUCAGUUCCUAAAUACAUUUUUUUUAAGCAAAAAAAACUAUUAUUAAAAAUUUUUCUCAAAAAUUGUUUUUCAUAUGUUUUCAAAAAUAGCAACCAAAAGACCCAAUGUCCCUAUGUUUUAUGCUGUUUUUCAUUGUCAGCGACUGCUUGACUGGGUCAAGUAGUUGUGUUGGGCUCAGUUUGAGUGGAGUUUGUAGCGAUGUAAAUUUGUUUUUAUUACAUUUUUAUAGCUACCAAAAAGAGAGCCUGGGUGAACCCCCACACGAAUCAGAUAUCAAAGUCAAUUUUCUUUCACCCUCUUUCGUUGCCGAGCAAAUUUUAGGUAAAAACCAAUUAAGUCUGAUGUUUGCUGUUUUUGUUUCUUAAAAAUUUGAUCACUAUUGCUUGAUUGAGUCUAGUUGUGAUAUCCCACAUCGGAUAGGGGAGGAAGUUCCUGGCGCUAUAUAUGUAGAGGCUCCUCUUAACCAAGUAGACGCGUUUUAAAGCCGUGAGGGCCCCCUUGGGCCCAAAGCGGACAAUAUCUACAUGGUUGGGUGCGGGUCGUUACAAAUGGUAUCAGAGCCGAUCCCCAACCCCGGUGUGGGGGUUUGUUUGGCUUUGUCUAUUUGGCCCCGCAAUCCCAUGGGACACAACGAGGACGUUGUGUCUGCAUGGGGGGGUAUUUGUGAUAUCCCACAUCGGAUAGGGGAGGAAGUUCCUGGCGCUAUAUAUGUAGAGGCUCCUCUUAACCAAGUAGACGCGUUUUAAAGCCGUGAGGGCCCCCUUGGGCCCAAAGCGGACAAUAUCUACAUGGUUGGGUGCGGGUCGUUACACUAGUAGUUGUUUCGGGCUCAGCUGGAGUGGAGUUGAUAGCGAUGAAAGAUUUGAAUUUUUCUUUUCCUGCAUUUUCCUGACCACCAAAGAAAGCCUGGGCCUAACCCACUCGAAACCAUGGUUGGGAAAUCAAAUUUUUUUCCCCUCUGUUAUGUUGUUGAGAAGCUGCAAGGAAAAAGAUGAGGAAAGAAGAGGAGAAUUCUGGGUCUUAUGUUUUCUGCUGUUUUGUUUGUUAAAACAUGGUCAUCUCUUUUGCUUCUCAUACAUCCUUUGAGAACCAAACUAAGCCUAAUUAAUAUUUUAAUCCUAGAAUUUUUUUUUACUUAUUAGCAAACUGAAAAAAAAAAAGGGAUAACCGAUUAAAAGGGAUGAAAUCUUUCCCACUUCGAAGGAUUUUUUCAACCUAAAAAAUAUUAUUUUUUGACAAAAAUGCUCUCAUUUCUUUCUUGUAAAAAUAACCAUUUCUUUUAAAAUGCACAUGUAAAUCAUGAAAAUGUUGAAGGGUAUUUAUGUCAAAAAUGGGUUACUCUUCAAGUUCAAAAAUGGGGAAGGUUAGUUUUACAAAUUUGGGAUUUUUUUUUUUGUUCAAUUUGCUCUUAAAUUAGAUGUAGGUUUCUGUACUGUAAAUGAUUCAUUCACAUUGAUUGAUAUGCUUUUAUUGCAGAAACCCAAAUGCUUGCCUUCCCACAAAAGAUAGUUGGAUAUGUAAAUGUGUGGCAACACCUUCCACAGAGACGACUGGUACAUUUUUUUUCCCAUUAAUUUUAUAGUUAUAUCAAUGUUCUUAUUUUUAAUUAUGUUUCUAUGCAUCUGGUCAAGUCAUUAGUGUUAUGAAUUUCUGGGAAAUUUUUUAGUUAUGAACCUAUUUUGCAGUUCGAGAGGGGCUUUAAAUUUUUUCUAGAAGUUAUUUGAUAACAUAAUUGAGUGCCACUACUGAAUUUUUUAUGGGAUAAGUUGGGAUAAAUUGCUUAUGAUAAUAUGCCAUAGUACUGACUAAAAUCUUAUUUUCUUUGGAAAUGGGAUUGAAAAAUUGAGGGUCUUGCAACAUGAUGUGGUGUGGCCAAUGGACUCUGUUUCUUGAUUUUAAAGUGUCAAUCUGACACAAUUUUUCCUUCAUUUUGUUAGGCUAAUGAUAAAUAUGCUGUUUCUGCAACUUGAAGAUUUUAUUGUUACCAAUUCAGCACUACGAUUUUCAAUCCCUAAGUGUUAGUUCCACCAAAUUUUGCUAAGUGUUGCUUAUCAUGUGAUGUAUGAGAGUAAAAAAUAAUGUAAUUUUGGGAGCGUUUUGAUUAUUGCCAUCGAGUGACAUUUGAAUAGCAGAGGGAUGUAGCUCAAAAGGGAGAGGUCUUGUUUGGCAUGGUAUCAAGUUCUUGUCAUCUUAAAAAAUAUUAUUGCCACAUGAGUUCUAAUAGUGGCUUUUAAAAAUUUGUGUGAGAAGUAUAUUGUUAGCUAGUUUUCAAAUUGUAUCAAUUGAUGCAUGUGUAAGGCUUAAGUAGCUUGGCGAUUAUUUUACUUGAAACUAACACUCUCAACUGAGGAAUUUUAUCCCUUGACUAAGGUUGGAUUGUCAAGGCGCCCUUGAGGCUUGACUCAAGUGGUAAAGGGUUGGGGUGGGUUUACAGGAGGUUCCAGAUUCAAGUCCCAAUAGGGAUAAAAAGAAAAAAGAAAAAAACAAAUUACCUAUCAAAAAAAAAAAAAAAAGGUUGCAUUGUCAAGGCUUCUUAAUGACAUUUUCCUAAUAGAUGAUAAAAGGUGUACAUUUAAGGCACCAAAAGUAGGUGAAUCCUAGUAAACAUGCAGUGAAAAAAGAAUCAUCUAAUCAGUCUGGAAAGGAAAAAAAUGGGGGACUACUGGUGCCCAACACUUACAAGAACCAUUUGCCCAAUCCUUCUGUGUCAGCAAAACGAAAAUGAUAUAUUUUUUCCUCCACAAAGUCAACUAUCAACCACAUGAACAACCAAGGCUUAAGGAAAUAUAUAUGAGCUUUAAAACAUAGAGCUAAACCCCAUCAAGAACCCUUUGAUUCGUUUCUUUCUAUAAACAUCCACAAACACUCAAAGCGGUUGUCCUGCAAAAUUUCCUCCUCUUUCAUAGUGAACUUCCUUUCCAAAACAUUAGGGAAUUUUUUAGUAGUGGCAGGAAAAGCUCAAUAGAUCCCAAAUAGAGAAUAGAUAAAAGCCCAAAGUGUUGGAGAAGAUUAUGAUUGAUGAGUCCUCUAUU